CUAGGGUUUGCCUUUCAUCUUCUAUUUUCGUCGUUGUUGUUCGGCUCCGUUUGCUUUCGCAGGAGGUGCAGAGAUUGCAGGCGUCGCUUCUUCGGCUCCUUCGUGGCUGUUCGACUUCGCUCCUGCGACGACUUCAACCCGGAUCGGAAGUUACAGCAUUUUGAUCAGAAGCAAGAACGGGAGCUCGCUGGCUGUGAAGGAACUUCCAUCAAAAGAAGAAUAAGUUGCAUCAGACCGCCAUCCAGGGGGAAAGAUAAUGCAAUCGAUCAUUAUUGCCCCCAAAAAAUAUCCAUGAAUAAAAGAAGUGGUAGCAGCCAGAAUGAGCAAAAAGCAAAAAUUGUUGCAGUCAUUAGCCAGAGGUGAGAAGUAAAAAUUGAUCCACUAAAUCCAGAAAGGAUCAUCGACCACCAAUAAGAACAAAGACCAAAAUCGAUAUAGGUAACACCCCUUAAAAGAGAUCCAAAAGCUGAUAACCUUUAUUCUAAAUAUAAACUUUUGAAAAAACUCGCAGCGAAUGUUUUUUUUUUUUUGUGACGAGGAGCACUGUCCUUAGGCCAGUGUAAACCCCGGUCGACCUAGCAUGCAACCCACACCAAUUUACACGUACCAACACUUAAGGCUUUCAUUGAUUGCCAAGGGAUUCGAACCAGGGACCUGAGCUUUGCCCAGCCGGCUCUUCACCACCAAGACAAACAGUGAUGGGUAGCGAAUGUUAGUUGCUUACAAGAAACUUUUAUCAUAUAAUCUGCUUCAAUGGUUGCAGGAAUUUUUUAUAAUACAAUGUGCUUUAAGUUUUAUUUAAAUAAUUUUCACUUCUUCGUUAUUCAUCUAUUUUGCUUCAUUUAAAUGGAAAAUUUUGGAAUUAUAAUGUGAAUAUUUGUUAUUAGUUUUGCAAUCAAUAUACAUGCAACAAUUAUA